UCGAACGGCAGCACGGGAGCUUGCUCCUGGUGGCGAGUGGCGAACGGGUGAGUAAUGCAUCGGAACGUAUCCUGGAGUGGGGGAUAACGUAGCGAAAGUUACGCUAAUACCGCAUAUUCUGUGAGCAGGAAAGCGGGGGACCUUCGGGCCUCGCGCUCUUGGAGCGGCCGAUGUCGGAUUAGCUAGUUGGUGAGGUAAAGGCUCACCAAGGCGACGAUCCGUACAGGUCUGAGAGGAUGAUCUGCCACACUGGAACUGAGACACGGUCCAGACUCCUACGGGAGGCAGCAGUGGGGAAUUUUGGACAAUGGGGGCAACCCUGAUCCAGCCAUGCCGCGUGAGUGAAGAAGGCCUUCGGGUUGUAAAGCUCUUUCGCGAGGGAAGAAAUUGCACCGGAUAAUACCUGGUGUAGAUGACGGUACCUUGAUAAGAAGCACCGGCUAACUACGGUGCCAGCAGCCGCGGUAAUACGUAGGGUGCGAGCGUUACAUCGGAAUUACUGGGCGUAAAGCGUGCGCAGGCGGUUUCGUAAGACAGGCGUGAAAUCCCCGGGCUUAACCUGGGAACUGCGCUUGUGACUGCGAGGCUAGAGUACGGCAGAGGGAGGUAGAAUUCCACGUGUACAGUGAAAUGCGUAAGAUGUGGAGGAAUACCGAUGGCGAAGGCAGCCUCCUGGGCCAGUACUGACGCUCAUGCACGAAAGCGUGGGGAGCAAACAGGAUUAGAUACCCUGGUAGUCCACGCCCUAAACGAUGUCAACUAGUGUUGGUGGGGUUAAACCCAUUAGUACCGCAGCUAACGCGUGAAGUUGACCGCCUGGGGAGUACGGCCGCAAGGUUAAAACUCAAAGGAAUUGACGGGGACCCGCACAAGCGGUGGAUGAUGUGGAUUAAUUCGAUGCAACGCGAAAAACCUUACCUACCCUUGACAUGCCAGGAACUUUCCAGAGAUGGAUUGGUGCCCGAAAGGGAGCCUGGACACAGGUGCUGCAUGGCUGUCGUCAGCUCGUGUCGUGAGAUGUUGGGUUAAGUCCCGCAACGAGCGCAACCCUUGUCAUUAAUUGCCAUCAUUUAGUUGGGCACUUUAAUGAGACUGCCGGUGACAAACCGGAGGAAGGUGGGGAUGACGUCAAGUCCUCAUGGCCCUUAUGGGUAGGGCUUCACACGUCAUACAAUGGUCGGUACAGAGGGUUGCCAAGCCGCGAGGUGGAGCUAAUCUCAGAAAGCCGAUCGUAGUCCGGAUUGCAGUCUGCAACUCGACUGCAUGAAGUCGGAAUCGCUAGUAAUCGCGGAUCAGCAUGUCGCGGUGAAUACGUUCCCGGGUCUUGUACACACC
rnacentral:rRNA from 1 species